UUAUCAAUUAACGUGUAGUCCAGCAUCUAUACAAAGAGCACAUGCAGGGAACAGGACGGGCCUGUAGCCAGGGAUAGCAUACAUUUAAAUGAAUUCCCAUGAAAGCAAUAAUAGGUCAUCCAUUCACACUUUAUUACAUCUACACACAAAUAGAAGCUUCACAAUAACUCAUAACUUUGAAAGAGUUUGUUGGUUCGCUGAUAAUAAGUGGGACUUUAUUUACAUGGCAUACGUGCUGAGAGGAGGUUGUGUGUGGCUAAAUACAAAUGAAUGAGGGACAAUUAGAGUUAGAGACGUGAACAGACUGCGGAGAACACGACCGAUCUAACCAACCCUUGAACAUUUCGCACACUGUGACCCUUUAUCAACAGUUACACCACCUGGUACUUAGAGAACUAAGUGGGCCACACGGACACCAACAAGGAAGUGAGCACUAAUUCAUCCUUAACAACCUAGUGAAUCUGAGUAAUCAGUAACUUCAUAAGGCUGUCCACCACGGACGACAAGGACUCCCUGUGCAGCUCUUAAUGGAACAUUUUCAGCUUUAAUCUCUCUAUUUCUGUUUGCUUUUGCUUUGCAUGAUCACGCAGCGUACUUCACUUUCUUACUUUCCCUUUUCCUUUUUAUUUGCGUAAGCGAUGCGGCAAACAGCUGCGGCUUAUUUCAUUUUUCAAAAUUCCUAAAUUGGGAAACCUUCUUUUUAUGCAAUAUCCCCUUUUUUGCCAUUCUCAUAGCGAGCCUCGUGUUGUGUCGACACAGUGGGCCGUUUUCGUGCUGGAUCCUAAAGGUUUACACCUGCACCCUGCGUCUGAAGCAAAGUUUGCGCCACUGGCCGACAAAUGGACCCGUGUGUUGGCGCGUCCGCUGUGGACUGAGUGGAGAUUAAUGAUUAGAUGAAGGGAAGAGGAAGGAGGAAGGAGGAAUUCAACGCUCAGAGGGGGGAAACACUGUAUUACUCCAUUAUGAAAUGGAUUUGGAGGAUGCCUCGUGCUACGCAGUUAUAAUCUUCUUCAUUCUUGAAGACAACAGCUGGCAUCGCAUGGACACACCACGGCAUUACCUGGCCUUCAUGAAGUCCUCCACCUCCUUGCACGUCCUCCUCCCAUCAUUGAGAUACUGAAUGAUGGCAUCGUAGCCGCUAGUGCAGGUCAGGUCCGUCGU